UGAACGCUGGCGGCAUGCUUUACACAUGCAAGUCGAACGGUAACAGGUUAAGCUGACGAGUGGCGAACGGGUGAGUAAUGCAUCGGAACGUGCCCGAUCGUGGGGGAUAACGCAGCGAAAGCUGCGCUAAUACCGCAUACGAUCUGAGGAUGAAAGCGGGGGACCGUAAGGCCUCGCGCGAUCGGAGCGGCCGAUGUCAGAUUAGGUAGUUGGUGGGGUAAAGGCUCACCAAGCCGACGAUCUGUAGCUGGUCUGAGAGGACGACCAGCCACACUGGGACUGAGACACGGCCCAGACUCCUACGGGAGGCAGCAGUGGGGAAUUUUGGACAAUGGGCGCAAGCCUGAUCCAGCAAUGCCGCGUGCAGGAAGAAGGCCUUCGGGUUGUAAACUGCUUUUGUACGGAGCGAAAAGGCUCUCUCUAAUACAGGGGGCUCAUGACGGUACCGUAAGAAUAAGCACCGGCUAACUACGU
rnacentral:rRNA from 1 species